rnacentral:lncRNA from 1 species
GUGAGUUGCCGCCAACCGCCCUAACGGCCGAAACAAUGUUAAUGGCUUUCAGAGUCUGGCGGCGCGUUCCCAUUAUCAUCUUCCUGUGACCCUUCCUCAUUUUACACGGAGGAGGUGGUCUCCACAGUGAUUUUAAAUUUAAUAUUUCUCUCAUAACCUUUGUGAGAUAAAAGAAUCUUCAUCCUUUUAACUUUGACGAGGGAUGAAAUGAAGUUUUCCACAACAUUUGGGAAGAUUUACAAGGUAUACUCCAUUUAGGCAAAAAUAACUGUCAGGGAAUAGUCAUUGUCAAGAGCAGUUUGUAUUGCAACCCACAAAUUAUACCUCUAUGUCGGUCCAGAAAUCCUUCAAUUUACCAAGAGAUUAUGUUUGAAAAUCUUAGAAAAAAUAAACAAUCCUGAAAAACUAAGUAGACUCCUGGUGAUUACAGUCAGUGCCACACAGAUUAUCACUUAGUGGUUCCACCAUUAAAACACUCCUGGAAUGUAUUUAUUUGAGGAGUAGCAGGAAGAAGAAAGAGAAGGAAGCAGGCUAGGCGUGGUGGCUCAUGCCUGUAAUCUCAGCACUUUGGGAGGCCGAGGCAGGCAGAUCACGAAGUCAAGAGAUCAAGACCAUCCUGGCCAACAUGGUGAAACUCCAUCUCUGCUAAAAAUACAAAAAUUAGCCGGGCGUGGUGGCGCGCGCCUGUAAUCCCAGCUACUCAGGAGGCUGAGGCAGGAGAAUUGCUUGAACUCUGGAGGCGGAAGUUGCAUUGAGCCAAGAUUGCACCACUGCACUCCAGCCUGGGUGACAGAGCGAGACUCCAUCUCAAAAAAAAAAAAGAAAAAAAAGAGAAAAAAGAAAGAAAGAGAAGAAGCAGAGGAGAAGAGGGAAGAGGAGAAGAAACCAACUAUUCUAUAGAAACAAAAUGAAAUCUAAAAUUCUAUGCAAACUUUAAAAAAUAACUUA